rnacentral:rRNA from 1 species
GACGAACGCUGGCGGCGUGCCUAAUACAUGCAAGUCGAACGCAGGGGGGACGGGUGAGUAACACGUGGGUAACCUCCCAUCAGAGGGGAUAACACUUGGAAACAGGUGCUAAACCGCUACUGAUGGAUGGACCCGCGGUGCAUUAGCUAGUUGGUGAGGUAACGGCUCACCAAGGCCACGAUGCCUAGCCGAUCGUAGAGGGUGAUCGGCCACACUGGAACUGAGACACGGCCCAGACUCCUACGGGAGGCAGCAGUAGGGAAUCUUCGGCAAUGGACGAAAGUCUGACGGAGCAAGGCCGCGUGAGUGAAGAAGGUUUUCGGAUCGUAAAACUCUGUUGUUGGAGAAGCGGUAUCUAACCAGAAAGCCACGGCUAACUACGUGCCAGCAGCCGCGGUAAUAC